rnacentral:rRNA from 1 species
GGGGACCAGGAUGGGGGAGGCUUGCUCCCUGAUGUUAGCGGCGGACGGGUGAGUAACACGUGGGUAACCUGCCUGUAAGACUGGGAUAACUCCGGGAAACCGGGGCUAAUACCGGAUGCUUGAUUGAACCGCAUGGUUCAAUUAUAAAAGGUGGCUUUUAGCUACCACUUACAGAUGGACCCGCGGCGCAUUAGCUAGUUGGUGAGGUAACGGCUCACCAAGGCAACGAUGCGUAGCCGACCUGAGAGGGUGAUCGGCCACACUGGGACUGAGACACGGCCCAGACUCCUACGGGAGGCAGCAGUAGGGAAUCUUCCGCAAUGGACGAAAGUCUGACGGAGCAACGCCGCGUGAGUGAUGAAGGUUUUCGGAUCGUAAAACUCUGUUGUUAGGGAAGAACAAGUACCGUUCGAAUAGGGCGGUACCUUGACGGUACCUAACCAGAAAGCCACGGCUAACUACGUGCCAGCAGCCGCGGUAAUACGUAGGUGGCAAGCGUUGUCCGGAAUUAUUGGGCGUAAAGCGCGCGCAGGCGGUUUCUUAAGUCUGAUGUGAAAGCCCCCGGCUCAACCGGGGAGGGUCAUUGGAAACUGGGGAACUUGAGUGCAGAAGAGGAGAGUGGAAUUCCACGUGUAGCGGUGAAAUGCGUAGAGAUGUGGAGGAACACCAGUGGCGAAGGCGACUCUCUGGUCUGUAACUGACGCUGAGGCGCGAAAGCGUGGGGAGCGAACAGGAUUAGAUACCUGUGGUAGUCCG